rfam:[Clostridium] clariflavum DSM 19732 chromosome, complete genome.
AAGAGCCGUAUGAUGGGAGACUAUCACGUACGGUUCCGUGAGAAACUCGGGGUGAAAUUCCCCGGGUUUACUCGAC